CCGCCGCAGCGCCGCCCCCCCCCCUUCCCCUCACAGCCCUGAGGGGAGAGGGAGACGGGGGGAGAUGGAGGGACAUGGCAGGACAGGGGAUCCCCGGUAAUCAGAUCACUGCGCCAGUUCCACCUUGAGUCCUGUGUCCAGUUUUGGGGCUCUCAAUUCGAGAAGGACGUUAAGGGGCCGGAGCAUGCCCAGAGAAGGGAACGGAGCUGGGGAAGGGUCUCCAGUCUGACGAGGAGCAGCUGAAGGAGCUCGGGGCGGGGCUCAGCCUGAAGAAAAGGAGCUCAGGGGGUCCUUCCUGCUCUCCACAACUCCCUGUGACAGCAGGAUGCAGCCGGGGAUUGGGCUCUGCUCCCAAGGAACAGGACAGAACAUGGCCUUAAGCUGCAGCAGAUAAACCCCGACCCUUGAGCCAGGAAGAGCUUGAUCACACCAUUUCUCUCUCUCCACUGUGACCACACUGAGCUCUUUAGGUGAGACUUCCUGCUGCCAUGGGCUGUCCCCUGCAGCCAACAGCAAUGACUGUGACAGGAGCAUCCUUGAGAAAUCCACUGCAAUCUGAGCCUCCAGACAGGCUGAACCCACCCUCCGUGCUGGCUGAAGUGCUAGUGACUCCUCUAUUGCACUUUGCCCACUCUGGGGGAAGUAACAUUUUAGUUAAACAAAACCCCUUCAGGGAUCAAGGACUACUGAAGUUUCCAUUCCAGAUGAAUGACUUGAGGCAAGUAUUUGUCCCUUCUGAGAAAGACCACUAAGCCCAACAGGUUUUUCAUCAAGCUCCUCUGCUUGCCAUCACCGACUUAAGAGUCACUUGUGGCACGUCAGAAAUACCAGAGAGGUUUAAUGUACCAGCAGGCAUCACUAAAGAGAGCUGGGAUUGCCAGGACCUUUGAGAGGCACCUGUGGUGACAUCAGGCAUAAAAGGACAGAGCAUCAAGGAUUAUAAUAGAUACAUUACAGAAGGAACAAAACCUCCCUGCUUAAAAAUAAAGACCUCUGCACCACCAUCCACCUGCCGAAGACGUGGAAGCUCUAGGUGUACUUGCAGAGGUCCUGCUAUUCUUGGCGACCCCAGGAGGUGUCUCAGUGCUUGGAACAGUGCAGAGAGAGCAGACACAAGGACAAACCACUCAGGUACCAAAGGAGCACAAAGCACCGAAGCUGUGCCAAUGCAGCACUUCACGCCAGGCCAGAGCUGCACAUACCAGGUAGGGUUGCCCUGAAAUCUCUUUGCACAGGAACAUCAAAUAUCUCUAGUGCUGUGCUCCUCAGACCGCCAGGCUGGGGAGUCUGAUGUUUCCUACAGAGAGCCCGAGCUGUCCCAGAGGAGGGCAGCAGAGUCCCAGCAUUCACACUGAGACAGCCCUGCUUCAAGUUGCUCGCAGAAGCUGGUGGGAAUGCAAGAGUUUGGGUAGGCGUCCCAUGAGGAAGGGUGUGGAGAUGACAGCAGCCUCUGGAACAGGCGGCUCACCAGGCACUGCUCCAUGCAACAGCCUCUUAACCUGUGAGUGCCCAGCACAGGGCAAGCAGAAAGCAGGCUGGCCUUGGCAAGGGAACUUUUCCUUCUCCAAACACAUUGUGGUUGGUUGACCUGGCUGGAUGCCAGGCUACCCAAGCCACUCUGUCACUCCCCUUCUCAUCUGGAUAGUGGUGAAAAAAUAGGACUCAUGCACUUUUGUUAUAAGGCCCUGGAGAGAUUAUUCACCAAAAUACUGUCAUAGGCAAAAAAGGCUCAACUUGGGGAUAUUAAUUGAGUUUAUUACUACCAAAAUUAGAGCAGGAUAAUGAGAAGUACAAUAAAUCUUAAAGACACCUUCCCUUCACCUCUCCCUUCUUACCAGCUCUACCUCCUGUCUCCAGCAGCACAGGGAGAGAGGGAAUGGGGAUCAUGGUCAGUUCUUCACAGGUUGUUCCUGUCACUGUGCAGGGAGAAGAGUCCUUCCCCUGCUCCAGCAUGGGCUCCUCUAUCCACAGGUCUGCAGGCCUCAGGCAGGAGCCUGCUCCAGCAUGGGCUUUCCAUGGGUUCACAUCUUCCUUUCAGGCAACCACCUGCUCUGCUAUGGGUAUCCUCCAUGAGCUGCAGGUGGAUUUCUGCAUCCCCAUGGACCUCCAUGGGCUGCAGGAGGACAGCCUGUUUCACCAUGGUCUGCACCACGGGCUGCAGGGGAACCUCAGCUCCAGCACCUGGAUCACCUCCUGUCCCUCCCUCUCCACUGACCCCGGUGUCUGUAAAGCUGUUCCUCUCACAUAUUCUCACUUUUCUCUUCUCUGGCCAUAAUUACCUCUGCACAAGAACUUUUUAACCUUCUUAUAUAUGUUAUCACAGAGGCAUUACUAUAAUUCCUGACUAUAAUUCCACCUUAGUCAGUGGCAGGUCUGUCCUGGAGCUGGCUGGCUUUGGCUUACCAGACACAGGGGAACAUGCUAACAGCUUCUCACAGAAACCACUCCUUGUAGACCCCCUGCUAUGAAAACCUGGCCAUGCACACCCAAUACACACACAUAAGAAACAAACCAAAUACAUGGUUCACUGGUUUCCAUGUAAAACCAUUUCAGAAAGAAACCAUUUCCAACCAUUUUGGAAAGAAACCAAAUCCUCCCCAAGACAUCCUCUCCCUCUGCUCAGAUCCCCUGGGCUCUGGCUAGUUCCCCUUUGCCACCACCAGGCACUGUGACACAGAGGGCCGGCAGCUAGGCUGGAAUUAGUCAUGCUUCCUCCUGCUCCACCCUGAAAGUCCCACUUCCUGGCAUUGGAAAAGAGCAGCACAAUCCUGAGGUCUGAUACAGCUGUCACCUGGGGAGGGACUGGGUCAUGAGUACAAGUGAGCAUGAAUCACCCUGAAACUAAGGGAUGGCGCAGCAAUUGUCUAGGAGAAUAUAGGCUGCUGGGGCCACAAAGGGCAGGCUGAGUUAAAGGAAACUUGGGACUAAAACACUGCUUAGGGUGGACAGAGCACAGUGUCAGUCCCAAGGAUCCAGUGAGGUGCACUAUGGGACAUCAUGCUGGUUCCCACAGGAGCUCAGCAGCAAUCACUCCAGCACAGAGCCUGCAGCCCACCUUACCUUGAGGUAUUGGUUCUUACUAACUAGAGAACACCAGCAUUCAGCUCCCACUGCCAGCCUGUGUAACACCCUUGGCUGGGCCCAGGACACACCAUGUGCAGCUAAGUCUCAAGGAAAUGUCAACAGAGAAGCAAAAGUGAAUAAUGUAGGUAGAUACCUUUCAAAGCUCUGCUCUCAAAGAGGACAACAUGACCCACACUUUCCAACCCACUAACCUGGUAAAUUGUGUCUGCUCUCACAUGUAUGCCACAGAGCCAGGCUGGGCACCAUGCAAGGAAAGGUGUGGGAUGGACAGGAAGCAGUAGUCUUGCAACAACAGCUGGCCAGAAAAGCAGCACUAUGUAAGGAUGUGGUUUGCACCAACCCUGGUAGCAAACACAUCAUGUGAGUCAACAUUUCAGCUGGUGAGGGUGUAGGGGGCAGUGGGAGGAUUUCUGUGGGUUCUAGGUAGCACCUCCAAUUACACAUUACUACCACAGCAAUUAACUCCAGUUUCCUGUGGUAAUGAUGGAAUUAGACAGUCAGAGGUGUGGGGUUUUUCUUCCCCCACUACACCUAAUAUUUUUAAGCCUAAAUUUCAUUGCUUGAGUCACAGCAGGAGUCUUGUACAGUUAAUUGUUAAUGUAUUGGUGGAUGUUCAAAGGUCAAUGGUAGAAGGCAGCUUUCCUAACAGGGUCUGUGGUUCAUCAGCUGUCUGUUGGCCAGGCAACAGCUUAUCUGGGAUGGGAGGACACUACUCAAAGCAGUAGAAAAAGGUGAUCUAUUACAAGUGAAAGAGGUCCCUACCAGCUCUCUGGCCAGGCCCAAUAAGAGUAUAUGUUCACACAGGUAUGCCAGGACUUGGUUUGCUCUGGAUAGGCAGACAGGAGCCCUCCAGUACUACAAAUUCACCCUACUGAGUUCAGACACUCAUUUAAACAGGUUUCUCCUGGUAUAAUGUGAAUGACCCCAGUCAGCUUCAUCACGCUUCACAUGCUUGCUUGCCACCACCAAUGAGAAGCAGAAUGGGACAGGUCUAUGGUUGAGGUCUCCUGACCCAGCAGGAAACCUGCUUCCCUGUCAGCCUGAACACAGCAGCAGGGCAGGGCACACCUGCAGCAAGGCAAGAGGCAUCCUGCUCCUCUCUACCACAGAAAGCUUUGUGUGUCUGCCAGAGCUGCUGUGUAAUUUGUCCCCAGAGCUCUGCCAGUGAUGCUCCCUCAUUUCAACCCACGGUCCCCUCAAGCUUGAGCAUGACCAUUGUUUUCCCUUCUGGCAAGACACUUCAACAGCAGCAGCUGCUGUGUGCCACAUGCCAGGGGCUGGCAGCACAGGGCCCCUGCAGGAGGCUGUGCUCCAAACAGGUGGCAGCAGAGGAGGAGCUGCUCUGCUACUCGUGCCAUGCCACUGAUGCUAGGACAUCAUAGCAUCUUUCAGGGCCUUGAGGAUAAAGGCAUUUCUCUCCCAUGGGAGAGAGCCCCUGCAGCAAGGCCAGAGGCUGCCCCCAGCUCUUCACCUGGAAUGAAGGGUGGCCCAGAAUGCACAGAGGGCUCCUCAGCCUAUGCAGUGAUUUGGCAAUCAGAGACCUGGGGCCAUGGGCAUGGUGCUCUUCCUGCUCCACUGGAUUCUUUGCUACUUCCAGUUCACCUCUGACCGGGCAGCAGGGAACUCAGGGACAGGUUCUCAGUUCCCAGAUUUGCAUAUCCUUUCCCCUCUCUCAUAACCCAAGUCUUUGGCCUCUCUCUUUUUGUGCUGCCCUCUUGCAGUGAAAUAAAUGCAGCAAAGCCCUUGGGGCACGAAAGCAGAGGAAGAUGGUGUGAUGUGCCAGCACAGAGAGAUGGUGCAGCAGCUCUAUAAGUGACUGUCACCCCUCAUGCCCCAAGCAGCUCAGUUAGUCACAGGCCUUGGCUACUCACCCUCCCUCCCAGCACUGACAGUGCUCUCAAACUUCCACAAUGGAGAGCUUGACCUUCUGAGCCCUGCCCUGGAAGAGGCAUGGUGAGAGCAUCACGCUGCAGAAACUGGUGAGCCCAGCUGCUUGGGGCCCACUGCAGGCAUCCCACAGGACAGAAGGAAGCAGCACAGCUCUCAAAACCACUACAGGACAUACGUAGUGCUGCCCCUCCUAUUGCCACCUAAGAGGCUGUGGGUUAAUUCAGAAAGCCACAGUGUGACAUUUGCUUGUGACCAAGCCAGCUACCGAAGUCUGAGAGGAGGAGCUUUUGGUACGUGGGUUCCCCCUGCCUCCUGAGAUGAUUUGGGUACCCCUGAGUACAUGCAGGUCACUGCUCAAAUUUCCUCUCUUCCUCUGCCUGGCAGAGGAUCCUGGCCUGUCCUCCCAGCUGUCACAAUACAGUGGUAACAGACAAACCUGCUUGAGCUGUGUCCCUGCUGAACCAGCAUGCAGUACCAAACCGCUGCAUCCACACAUUUAUUCCUUGCUGCAGAGGAGUGACCACCCCUCAUAAAGCUUGCCAUGGCUGGUCACUGCAGGAUGCAGAGAGGGUCCCAACACCAACUGGAAGAGAAAGCCUUUUGUGCCCCAUGAGCUGCUCCAAGCAGAGCUCCUGCACUGCACCUGAAAUGAGGCCUCAACUGCUGUACCACAGGAGCCAAGCAAUGAGACCUGGAAACUCAAGGGACAUAACUUCCUCCAGCUACAACAGGGAGCUCAGUGAGCACUCCCAGCAGCUGCAACAGGGCCCAAAUGUGCUUCCAAAGCAAGCAGGGAGGUCGGAGAGCUUUGUCAGGUACCGUGACUGCCACAUGGAGAUGGAGAUUAGCAGCGCUCCACACCUUUGAAGUUCACUGCCUUCUCCACUGAACCCCACCACUGGAAAGACACAGAGGGGACAGGGCUACCUACAGCCCACAGAAUAUGGGGCCCAGCUGCCUCUUCCUUCCACCCUGCAGCCACAUCCCUGUCUGUUACUUCAGCCAGCCUCACCUCACGGAAGCUGAGCUUCCCAUCAAAGUCUUCAUCCACCUCCUUGAUCAUGUUCUUCAGCCCCAGGUGGGUCUGUGGGGCUCCCAGCUUUUCCAUCAUGAGCUUCAGCUCCAUCAGGUCGAUAUAUCCAUCCCGUCCCGAGUCAUACCUGCAGGGUGCAAAGGGGAAAGGGUUAACCAACAUCAUCCCCAUACUCAUCUCCCCAGAAGAGGAACCAUGCACAUGGAUAAAGUCACUGUGUGGUUCAAAGCUUAGGGGAGAGCGGAAGCUGCGUGACAUGGCCAGUGCUGAGAUAUAUUAAGUUCAGAGAAGUAGCUGUCAGCUUUCAGAGCUGUCUCACCAAAGAGAGAAGUACUCAGGGGAGCUCAGACCAAACAACCCGCACAGAAGGAGCACAGAGGAACUCAGCUUAUCUCAGUGGGGUUUCCAUUUCACCCACUUGCCUGUCCAGCACAAAAGCAACUUGCACGCAGCUUACACCAUGCAUCAAUGUGGUGAGACAAAGGCAUGCAGAAUCAGCUGCUGCAAGGUUUCCUGCUAGCUUCAAGAAGAAACAGGGAGCAGAGACCAAGGAGAACCUCUUGGCAGAAAGCAAUCUUUCUCUGUAAGCAAAACUCUCCCCCUCUAGCUGUUAAGAUCUUUUCUCUACAAAAUGCUUUUGUACUACAACAAGCACCACUACAACAGCUGCACUUCAGGGCAGCUGUUUAUUCUGUGUCCCUGGGCAGAGCAGAAAGACAGUCCCAGGGAGCACAGCAAUCCUAGCCAGGGCUGUGUGCCAGGGUUGCACCACAGGGCCAGGCUGGCAGAGGAAACCAGUGCCCACCUCCAGGAGCAAGACUAGAGUGGGACCAUGCUCCCUAAGGAGCACAAAGGACUGCAAGGACUCUCCAGAGGAGAACACCCGUGUAAGGGGAGGAGUGCUUUAGGGAUGGGGAGGCAGUGAGUGAUCUGUUGUGCACAGCCUGGGACUGUGCACCAACUCCUCCCAACAUCUGCUGUGGGUGUGGGUAAAGCAUCCGGCCCAUCGAGCAACCAGCGCUUCACACCCACCAGGGCUAUCACCAGCUUUCAAAGUCCAAAAGCUGCAGGGAUGGGCACUCUGUUAUCAGCCACUCAACAGCCCUCUUUCAUCCUGGUCUUGCCAUCAAGGUUCAGCACAGAGCUAGGGCUUCACAGGAGAAGACAGGGCAGUGUCUCCCAAGCUGGGCUCAGCCUCAGUAUACAGCCUGCCACUGCCCCCCCAGCCACCAUCUCAACCCUGACAGAGUUAAAUCCUUUCAACCAUUCAGAAAGAAACCUUAGGCACAGUGCUGAUGCUUUCCAGUGGGCAGGAGCCAGUCAAAUCCUCCCACCCAUCAUCUUUUAUUGAGUGUUAGUGCUCUUCCAAAGAAAUGAGGCCUGCAGCCAUCCCAGACAAAGAUCUGCACAUUGGUGGUUACCCUGGAAGAAAGCCCUUUCCAGCUGAAAAACCUCACAGCCACAGAGGAAGCUGUGGCAAAGGAAGGCACGAACAAAGCCACCAGCCCCAAACUGCGUACAGGCACGAGCAGCACAAGGCAGAGCUGCAGCCAAGAUCUCUGCCCCUGCUUUCAGGAGCACAGGCACAGCAUGCUUUUCCCCCAAACUAGGGUGGCCUCCAUGACUUUCCAGAGUCCCACCAGCCCCACAACUAUUUCUGAUACUCCUUGUGGCUCUUAGUGGUUCAAGGGUCCCAGGACUAAGAGACUCCCAAUGACAGGGACAUAAUUGACAGACUAGGCUGGCAUAGACCCCCUGUUACCAAUCUGCCUCUAAUCUAUACCCAGCAAACCCAUGAGCCCAGCAGGCCUUCUGAAAAACCAGGAAAGAAAUCUCCAUCAGAGCAGAAACCAGGUCACAGACCUGGGAUGUCACAGGGAAGAAGUACAGCAGGUUCUACACAGCAAGGAAGGUGUCAGUUAAUUAAAGCACAUUCACAGCAUUACCCAACCCAGCACUGAGAUGCACUUCCAAGACAUCACAGAAGCACUGCAAGUGCAAUAUUUAAUUGUCAAUUGGCUUUGCUUUCAAGUUUGGGAGAAAGGGUGCAGAGCUGUCACUGUUGGAAAUGCAGUGCCUUUGAUUAGACACAGCAGCGAAAUGUGCAAUGGCAGAAAGGCACGUGGGGCUGCAGUUUUUUGGGGAGCCCAGCAAGCUCAUGCUGCUCUUUGGCUGGAUGCAGAAGCAAAGUAAUACCAAGGUCCCCUCCAAGGGCUGUUCAUCUGGGAUUGGAACACUGCCCAGCCCCACACGGAAGCUCUGUGUAAGAGAUGAAGGCAGAAGUAGGGCACAAGCCCAGCCCGUGCCUGCUGUGGUCAUCUCACCCUCCUGUUAUGGACACUACCUGCAGGCAAGCACUGGCCCAGGGGCCCGUAGGCUGCCCUGAAAGGGUUAAGCGUGGGGCACAGCUUCAGGGCUCAUCCCUGCAGAGAGGCAGGACAAAGCCAGGAUUGUGAGAAAUGGGGUCUUGCCAACAGCGGGCCUGGCUGAGCAGCACUCUGUACCAGCCACACAAUGGGUGUUGAGCAUGAGUACAGCUGGUGCUGAGAAGCACCCAGAAAUCAGGUUACCAGUCCCCUGCACUCAGGCACAGCCAGACAGAGGGGCACUGAAACCCAACGGCAGCACCCUGCAAACUGCUACAUUCCCUCCCUGCCCCCUCGCCUCCUAAAACAGCCAAACUAUUUUAGGACCUGGGUACAGCCACUCAGCUGCUGCACAGCCAGACUAUUUAGGGAGAGGCAUAUUUACACGGCACGAGAAACAGCACCAUUCAUUUCCCACCACCCACCCCCAACAGACCACAGGCAUUCAGCACUGUGGGGCACAAUGCAGACUGCACCUUGCUGGUCAGCUGAUGCUCCCAGCACACCUCAGUCCUACCAGACCCCACAGUCUGCCUUUGGAGAGAUCAUACAACUCCCCUGCCUGCCUUUUGGGAGCCCCUUUUCAGGGCGCUGGGCUCAGACAGCCCCGGAUGCCUCUCACACACAGCUGCCUGCAUCCUGGUGAUGCACAGCCAUUACCUUCACAGGCAGAGCUGGAAGAGGGCACCAGGGCAAGUUAAACACAGCCCAGCAUCCAGGGGAGCCAUCCCAGCCUCAACUCCAGGAGUGGCACGGCAAGAGCACGCAGCACUCAGGUGCCUGGUGAGCCCUGCCAUCACUCACUGUCCUGCUGUGACACCAGAGCUUUGCUUCCUUCAGACUCAAAGCUCCCUGGGCCACGAGCCAAGCCUCACCUAAGUGACGUGCAGGCAUUACAGACAGAGGGGAAUUGUGUCAACAAGCACAGACAUCUCAUGUCACAGGAAGGCCACUUCAGCAGCAGGUCGGUGCCAUGGCCACAGCAGAUCCCACCUGUAACAGCUGGGAUGCCGCAGGCAGAUAUGGGCACCGUGGCUGCUGUGAUGAAACUUUGCCACACUGCUGCCACAGCAGUGUUCCUGGCAGCAAAUGAGACACAGCAGUGGCUGCCAAAAUCUGCUGCAACAAGGAUGCACCCAGAUUCCCAUGCUGGCUGGCUUCCACCCAGACUGCAGAGCGUGCCUGGCUGCUGAAGCACUGGGAGAGGAAAGCAGGAGACAGAAUCGGAGGAAGGAGGGAAUACUUGCUGAACAGACUUGCUUAAGAGCACAAAGUCUGUUACACACAAUUACUGCCCAAGUACAAACAUUGCACUGGUGUUCCACAGAUGCUGGGGGUUUACAUCGCAGAAGAAAAAAGGAUCAGGGAUGGAGGAAAAAGGAGAUGCCAAGGACUGCAUCACCUGUAGUGACUCUGCAGUCACCAAAAAAGAACAAUUAAAUGACACAGAUGCUGAAGGAUCAAAGAGCAGUUUCUAAACAUUCACAUUUCUUGAGAAAAGCUGGAAUGAGAACCUGCCCUCCCUGUACAUGCUUGCUGCACCUUACCUUGCUUCACGUAUUAUGGGCACCUGUACUUUGAUCUGCAGUUCCUGUAUGCUGCAAUAGCCUAAUUGAGGCUUUGAAGCAAAGCAGUUGGAAUAAUGGUGCUAAAGUAAUAAUCUCCUCUUAAAUAUUUAAAAUCCUAAGUAGCACUUUAUUCCCUCUGAGCAUUGUGUUUCACCUUACAUGGAGAAGGUGGUGCUAAUCUCUGCUCCCUGACAUCCAAUGAUAGGGUAAAUGGGAAUGGUUCAUAACUGCCCCAGAGGAGGAUCAGAUUAGACCUGAGGAAGCCUUUCUUUCAGCCUGAGAGGGUUGUCAGACCUGGAACAGCCUUCCUAGAAAGGUGGUCAGUGCCCUAAGCUUGUCAGUGUUUAAGAGACAUUUAGACAAUGCCCUUAAUAAUAGGGCUUAACUUUUGGUCAAGCCUGAAGCAAUCAGGCAAUUGAACUAGAUGUGAUCAUUGGUGCUCCAUUCCAAAUGGAAUAGUCUACUCCAUUGCCAAGAGCUUUGGAAACAACUCCUCCAUACCAGGAUGGGGACAGGAGCAGGCUCCUCAGCCACAUGCAGCUUCAUCCUCCCCAGCCCAGGCAGAGGGAGCUCUCCUGCUCUUGGAGGGACAUGAGGACAAGAUGACAGUCUGCUCCACUAAGACGUUCUCCAAGAUGUUGGGCAAGACCUACAGGCCCAAACUGAGCCCCCAUGGGAAUAACCUCCACUGGAAGUCCACGGACAGCCAGUCACAUAAGGCACACGGCAGCUCUGGAGAGGGCAGGUCUGCUGCAGCAUGUCACACAAGGCUGGGGCACCUGGCAAAGUGGCUCCUAAGUAGCUCCAGGAGAGCAAGGGGACAUCACAGCCUCUCCCACCAGCCAGAUGCAAGGCACUUAUGCAAUGUGUGGGCAACACAUGAAAUUCCCUAGAUAUAAAAAGCAAUACAAGACUGGAAUUUCUCCACUCCCUCGCGCCCCACAGAUGAAGCGGCUGUCUGUUUUCCUCCCCCUUACAUUUCUCAUAAAGGUCAUGAGAGCCUCACUGCCUGGCUUUCACAUUCCCCUCUGCCAUUUUCCUGGACAAAGAUGGCACCAAGGGGAGCUGUGAGACUCCAGAGACCCUGAGAGUUCACUUAGCUCAGGAAAGAGAGGUUAUCAUGGUUAUCACAGUCCUCACAUAUUGUCAGAAUAGGCAGCUAAUUAGGUCACAUUAUAAUUAGCCUGAGCUGUAGACUUCCUG